GCAACACCAUUGUGCCAUCCGCCAUUAACGUCGAAGGCAUUGUUACAUCGUGCUGUCCGCUUGUUUUUCGCCUUGAGAAUUCUUCUGGAGAGCUAUAGACGCGCUGGAACUUUAAUAAAGUUCCAUUGCGAUGAGUAAAUUGCGGAUAAACGAGGAUGAGAGUGAUGGUUUUUUAAAAAGCCGCUGUCUCUAGUAGACGGUUAGUGAGCUGGCAUUAUCGACGACAAUAGUAGCGCAAAUGAGCUUGAAAGAUAAGUGACAGUUAGACUAAAAGUAUAAAAAUGUAGAAAGACAAAAUAAUAUGUAUAUAAAUAUACUUAUAUUUUUCACUUAGAGUUAAUUAUGAAGCAAUCAAUUAUGAAGCAGUCGACAUCUGAUAUCGGCCAAUGGAUACACGUGACGUCAUUCGCCCUGACCAUCUAUUUUCGAUCUAAAGAAUCGAUCGGAGAAUCUUCGAGCGGCAGAUCGCUGGACUACUCAUCUCUCGCUUGGCAUUUCUACGACAUCAAAAAUCCGGAUUCAUCCUCGGAUUCAUUCUUCCUUCACGUGAUGUCAUUAUCCAAAAUACUAAAAUUCAUUAACCCAGGGAACACACUAGAGACGCUAUUCUGUAAUUGUUUUACACGCCUAUCGAUAGUUAUUAUUGCGCAGCUUUUUCACCAUAUAAAAUAUCUGCGCAACGAUCGGUAAGCGUGCAAAGACAAGUUACAGAAUAAUGUCCCAGUCGGGAGAAAGUCAAAAUGACUUCACUUGAUAUUAUGAAAGUUAAAAUGAUGAUUUUUUUUAUUAUGAAAUUUGAUGUUUGAUGAUGUUUAUUGAUGUUUGAUGUAAAAAUAUCAGAAUAAAAUCAUUUUAAUUUUUUA